CAAAAAUAAUUUAUAAAAAAUUUACUAAACAUUAAAAUUAACUUUUAACUUUUAAAAAUCACUUUUGAGUUUUCUAAAAACAAUUCCUUCACAUAACUUUUCAUUUCACAUUAUGAAUUCUACCUCCAUAAAAAAUGCUCACUAAUACAAUAAUAGUUGAUGACCAUAUACUAAUAGCAUCCCGCAAACUAGGCACAUGAAAGAUUGCACUCAGGAAGUACUUUAAAAGCAUUCUCUUAGAGACAGUCUUCUAAAAUCGGCCGAGAGGAUUGCAUUCGACUAAGCCCAUCCUUUAAAGAGCAAACCCAUUACAUGAAUUUAGUGACGGGCCCAGGCUUGCAUGUGUGGGUGCUCAAGUAAUCAAUUAAACUCAAUCACAUGGAAAAAUACUAUUAAAAAAAAAAUCAGAUAGAAAAAAGCCUGCUAAGAUAGUAUAUGAAACCCAUCACUCAUUUUGCCUCGAUUUAUUAAUGAAGGCUGGAGGGAGACAAUAACCGAUUCUCUCACCAAAAAUCAGAGCUAGUGGGUCACAUGUUCGUGUUCAUUUUGUGUUAACUUUAUAUCGUGUUAAAUUUAUUCUGACCGAAACAUGACCCAUUUAAUAAUCGUGUCAAACAAUUAUAUUCUUUAUCCAACAAGAAAAAUAAAUGGAUUACCCAGUAAUAUCUAUAUAUUUAAUAAGAUUUACAUCAAAUAUUUGCAUUUCGUUACACAAACACAUACGGAAAAAUAUAUAUAUAAAAUAUUAUUUAUCGAUGUUAUAAAAUAUAGUUACCUACCAAUAUUUUACAAAUUUACACAAUUAAAAUUCUAAAUCCAUAUAAAAUUUAAUAAAUAAAACACCAUGUAUACGUUCAUCUUUCCGAAAACAAAAGAGCGAAUCAUGUCCAAUAUUUGAGUUUUAAUAACAAUUACCUACAAAUUGAGUUAGAAUAGAAAAUAUAAAUCAUAUCAUUAAUCGAAUAAAUGGGUGUAGAAUUUUAACCCUAACCUAACACGGGAAAAAAAAAUUGUGUCAACCCAGUCUUGACCAAUUUGAUAAUCAUGUCAAAUUUAAUAACUCAUACCCAUUUAUUCAUGUCGUGUUCAUGUCGAGUAUUCGGAUCUUGUCAAAUUUUUUCGGCUCUACCAAAAACUAUCGCUAAUUAUUAAACAAACACUUCUAUGAAAACGAGAAACUUAAUAAAUCAGUUAAGUUUGAGUUAAACGUGCAUCUUAAGUUUAUUACUUUAGAUUAAAAGAACAUCUUAUUCUGUUUUUGCACAACAGUUUUAAUCUUCUAAUGAGUGACAACUCGGAUAAUAUAUAGUGAGCUAGUGAUAUUGUUAUCUGCAUCAUAUUGUCAAUUUAAACUUCAAUUCUAUUUAAGGGAUAGGGAUGGCAAUGGAUUGGAUCUGAUCCAAGAUCCACGUGAUCCAAAUCCAAUCGGAUCGGAUUUGGAUCGGUUUAAAAUGGAUUUGGAUCGGAUUUGGAUAUCGAUGUGCGGAUCUAAGACGGAUCUGGAGCAGAUAUGGAUCUAUCUUAAUAUCUAAAUCCAUAUCCAUAUCCACUCAUCUUUUAAUUUUAUUUUAUUUUAAAAGUUUCUUAACAAUUGUGAAAUUAUAAUGAUAAUAAAUUUUAUUCAUAACAUAUUAGUAGUAUUUACCAUGCAUUUAAACUCUUAAAACUUAAAGGUUAGUUUUGUAAAUUUAAAGGUCAGCCAACCUCAAAGCAUGUACAUGCAAUAUUCAAAUUGCAAGCCAAGUAAUAUAACCUGGCAAUUUAUUUUAUUAUAUUGGCCAAAUAAUUUUUAAGGAAUAUAGUUAUUCAUAUAUUUAGUCAAAUAUGGUCAUAAUAAAAAUAAUAAAGGACUGAAUAUAAAUCAUAUUUAAUUUAUAUGUCAUUAUCUAAUGUUGUAGGAAUGAGGGUAGAUGUAUCGUAGAUAUUAGAAUGAUGAAGGAGACAAUAAAAUAUUAGAUUGAUCUUACUCCUACAAUUACUUUGGAAUGAUAUUUUAUUAUAUUUCUUAUUUGUUGUUUUGGUGUAAAAGUAUAAGCUACAAUAUUUAUUAUAUUUUUGAGAAAAAUUAUAUAAUUUAUUUGUUAUCAAUAUAUUUUAGCCUUCAAUUUUCAAUUUAAAAAAUUAUUACUUUUUUAUUAUGGAAUUUUAGAAUUCAUGACGGAUCUAGAGCAGAUUUGGAUUUUAAUUUUUUUUUUCGGAUUUGGAGCAGAUAUAGAUAUUUAUUUCUUUUUUGGAUCUGGAUAUGGAGCGAAAAAUAUGGAUUCAUGACGGAUCUGGAGCAGAUACGGAUCUUGAUUUUUAUUAUGGAUUUGGAUCUGGAGUAGAGUAGAUCCAACCCAUAUCUGCCUCAUUGCCAUCCAUAUUAAGGGAGUACAGUAAUCGAAUUUAUAAAAUGGAAGACAUUGCUCGCUUAAUGGAAUACUCUUGUGUACACAACAAAUUUUGAGUAGACGACUUUUGAUUAAUUAGAAAAAAUAGCAUCGGAUAAGUAUUGGAAUAGAUGGUCUCCAUAUAUAGAUUGUGAGAAAAUGUAAAAGAAUGUGUUUGUUAAGUAAGAAUGAAUGUUCACUACAGUUUAUAUAGCAGCUGGAAUAACUAAUUGAAGCUACUAGAAUUCUGCCAGCUCAACACGAGGAAGUAUCUGCUGUGUGUGCAUCUAGUUGCUUCCAGUAAGCCCAAGCUAUAGCUCUGUUUCAGCACAUAUGCUAACAUAGAUCCAUAACAAAAAGUAUUAAUUAAAAAAGUCCAAUACAUCUCGUCAAUUCUCGCAUGAUCACAAGAUGUUUUUAAUUUUUAUUUAUUUUAUUUUUCGGUCUCUUUUUUACUUUAUGUUUUUAGGUUUUUCUACUUAUUUUAUAUUUCCGUUUCUUUCUACAUUGUCUUUCCUUUGCGGUGGUUUAUUUUUCUUUGUUGGUUGUUCGGUAUUGGUUUUUUACUCCUUUGGAGGUUCUUUUGGAGGCUGUGGAUGGAUUCCUCUCAAAGUUUAUAUUGGGAUCGUCUUAGUAUCCGGAUUCAGAGGGUAUGGCCACAUUAGAGUCUAUGAGUGGCUCUAAUAGUGGUGUAUCAAGUUUCAAUGGCCUGGGGUGAUUGCUCAUCGAAAGGUUUUCUUUGAUAAAUACUCUACUAAGGAUGGUUUUUGUUUUUUUGAGAUUUUUUUGUUAUUAUUAUUAUUUUUUUUUUUUUUGGUGCUUUGUUAUUAGCAUUACGUUGGUUUAUUAUAUUACCGAUACAACAACAUUCUUUCUCCGAUUGGAAGGAUUUGACACUUUCACGUAUAUUAGCUAGGGUGGGUAAACUUGUCUAGUUCCUUAGAAGUAAUCUGUUGCUUAAGUAGUUUUAAUGUGUGAAAUAUUUUGUUAUCUUUUCGGUUAUAGGAAGUUUGAAGUGCUUGUAGUUGUAUAAUUGCAUUUUGUUGUUAGGCAUCGCCCUAACCUUGGCUUGAGUUAGGUAAGUCUAAUUUGGUCUUAUACUUGCGGUAUUGUAUUAUUUAUUGGCUAUUAUUGGUCUUUUAAUAAGAGUUAUAGUUCCCUACCAAAAAAAAAAAGAAUAAAAUACAAUAGAUUUUGAGAGAAGAUUUACAAGCAUCUCACUCAAUAGUAGCUUCAUUUUUAUAUGAAACGAAAGUUCAGAGAGAUACUGUGCAAAAGUUGAUAAGAGCAAUAGCAGAAAUGAAUCAUUGUUGUCUUACUAUGAUUAGAAAUCGAGUGUACUGUUCAAAAUUUAGAAUUUGGUUCUAUACAUAUGUCGGGGUAAAAAUGAAUUGACGAAGGU
rnacentral:lncRNA from 1 species